rnacentral:rRNA from 1 species
AUGAAGAAACAAAUAGAGGCUCACAAGACGUCCUAUAUUGCUGAAAUUGAUGUGGCUUUUCAUUCACUCCAUGAGGAUGAAGUCCGCACUACUCAAAUGUACAUGCUUCCGCUGGCUGAUAUUCUUCACAUGUGUCAGCCAUGGCCACCACCUAUGGAGCAAGUACACCAUCAAAGCAGCAGUGAUUCUCUAGUGACAGUACUUAUACCAACUGAUGUUCUUACUGUCAAUGUAGUUGUAGAGGAGCCAUACAAUUCACAGACUGCUCAUAUUAACUGUAAAAUCACACCUGUUGUUUUUCACAUGAGUCGUCCAUGGGCAUCGCAAUUGGAUUGCAAUUAUCAGCAGCCAGUUACUAGUGUCUCCAAAGUGCAACAUGUCAAAAGAAGGUUUCUCACGUGCUAG